UGGCCUAACCCCUUGUGGGAGGGAGCCGUCGAAGGUGGGAUCGGCGAUUGGGACGAAGUCGUAACAAGGUAGCCGUACCGGAAGGUGCGGCUGGAUCACCUCCUUUCUAAGGAG
rnacentral:rRNA from 1 species